UAAUGCCAAUGACUUGUCAAGUACAGCAUCGUCUAAAUAUAAAGAUAUUCUAUUUUUAAAAUUUUUUAAUGGCCAAGAAAAGGAUAUUGGAGUGACGUACAACUCCAAGGUCUUCUCACUAAUAAAUCAGCUUGUACUUAACGGCCUCUUUGAGCCCUCAACUGAAAUCUUAUUGGGAACUUCUUACUGGUUGAGUCAAGAGCUUAUAAAUUUAAGACCCUAAGGUUUCUGCUGCUACUUCUGCUUUACUUUAUGCUUUUUGAAGUACAAGGAAUUUUGAAAAGAGAAUAUCUAAAGCACUGCGAGGGAGAAUGUCGUCUACUUGGUCUCAAAACUAGUUCUCCAUUGCUUCAGAUCGGUAGUUAUAACUUCACGGGUGUAUAUAAGCACACAGUAGGCACUGAUCUCUAUUUCGACUGUCUGCAAGUAGAUGAAAACACUCCACUAGAACUUAUAGCCAAAGGGACUAAAAGAAUUUAUUUUACCCCAGUUUCACUUAAAAGAACUGAAAAUUAAACCCAAAUAUAAAUUUUGUAUA